UCAAGCUUUUAAUAUGUGUUCUUGAAGCCAUGGUUGUAUUUGGCUCGGUGUGCUGGAUAUCCCUUCACUGGUAGCCUGGUAACAUACACUCCCAGGUCUUUCUCUGUGGUGGAUAGUGGAGUGUUUCCCAUGUGGUAUUGGUGUGCUGGAUAUCCCUUCACUGGUAGCCUGGUAACAUACACUCCCAGGUCUUUCUCUGCCUCUGUGGUGGAUAGUGGAGUGUUUCCCAUGUGGUAUUGGUGUGCUGGAUAUCCCUUCACUGGUAGCCUGGUAACAUACACUCCCAGGUCUUUCUCUGCCUCUGUGGUGGAUAGUGGAGUGUUUCCCAUGUGGUGUUGGUGUGCUGAUAUCCCUUCACUGGUAGCCUGGUAACAUACACUCCCAGGUCUUUCUCUGCCUCUGUGGUGGAUAGUGGAGUGUUUCCCAUGUGGUGUUGGUGUGCUGGAUAUCCCUUCACUGGUAGCCUGGUAACAUACACUCCCAGGUCUUUCUCUGCCUCUGUGGUGGAUAGUGGAGUGUUUCCCAUGUGGUAUUGGUGUGCUGGAUAUCCCUUCACUGGUAGCCUGGUAACAUACACUCCCAGGUCUUUCUCUGCCUCUGUGGUGGAUAGUGGAGUGUUUCCCAUGUGGUGUUGGUGUGCUGGAUAUCCCUUCACUGGUAGCCUGGUAACAUACACUCCCAGGUCUUUCUCUGCCUCUGUGGUGGAUAGUGGAGUGUUUCCCAUGUGGUGUUGGUGUGCUGGAUAUCCCCUCCUGUAGCUUGGUGAUAUCUU